CGGACGGGUGAGUAACGCGUGAGAACAUGCCUUUAGAUUGGGGACAACAGUUGGAAACGACUGCUAAUACCGAAUGUGCCUUAGGGUGAAAGAUUUAUUGUCUAGAGAUUGGCUCGCGUCAGAUUAGCUAGUUGGAGUGGUAACGGCACACCAAGGCGACGAUCUGUACUUGGUCUGAGAGGAUGACCAGGCACACUGGAACUGAGACACGGUCCAGACUCCUACGGGAGGCAGCAGUGGGGAAUUUUCCGCAAUGGGCGAAAGCCUGACGGAGCAAUACCGCGUGAGGGAGGACGGCUUUUGGGUUGUAAACCUCUUUUAUCAGGGAAGAAUCGAUGACGGUACCUGAUGAAUCAGCAUCGGCUAACUCCGUGCCAGCAGCCGCGGUAAUACGGAGGAUGCAAGCGUUAUCCGGAAUUAUUGGGCGUAAAGCGUCCGUAGGUGGUUUAUCAAGUCUGCUGUCAAAGCGUGCGGCUUAACCGCAUAAGGGCAGUGGAAACUGAUGAACUAGAGUGCGAUAGGGGUAACAGGAAUUCCCAGUGUAGCGGUGAAAUGCGUAGAUAUUGGGAAGAACACCAGCGGCGAAAGCGUGUUACUGGGUCUGCACUGACACUGAGGGACGAAAGCUAGGGGAGCGAAAGGGAUUAGAUACCCCUGUAGUCCUAGCCGUAAACGAUGACAACUACGCGUGAUUCGUAUCGACCCGAGCCGUGCCGUAGCCAACGCGUUAAGUUGUCCGCCUGGGGAGUACGCACGCAAGUGUGAAACUCAAAGGAAUUGACGGGGGCCCGCACAAGCGGUGGAGUAUGUGGUUUAAUUCGAUGCAACGCGAAGAACCUUACCAAGGCUUGACAUCCUCGGAACCCUGAUGAAAGUUAGGGGUGCCUUCGGGAGCCGAGAGACAGGUGGUGCAUGGCUGUCGUCAGCUCGUGUCGUGAGAUGUUGGGUUAAGUCCCGCAACGAGCGCAACCCACGUUUUUAGUUGCCAGCAUUCAGUUGGGCACUCUAGAGAGACUGCCGGUGACAAACCGGAGGAAGGUGUGGAUGACGUCAAGUCAGCAUGCCCCAUACGCCUUGGGCUACACACGUACUACAAUGCGUCGGACAAAGAGCAGCCAGCCAGCGAUGGUGAGCCAAUCUCAUAAACCGACGCUCAGUUCAGAUUGCAGGCUGCAACUCGCCUGCAUGAAGGAGGAAUCGCUAGUAAUUGC
rnacentral:rRNA from 1 species